ACGGGAUUUCAUCAUAUUAGUUGGGCUGAUCUUGAACUCCUGACCUCAGUAAAUGAGGGAAACACGGUGAAUAUUAAAUAUAAACAAAUAUAAAACUGAUGAGCGAUUUAGAUUCUUUUAUCCAGCAACUAACUUCUCUAUCUUCUUGUGACCUGAGAAACAACUCUCAUCAAUGAGAUGCAUGAGGACAUCUGGGUGGUCUCUGAAAGAUUUCAGUUUCUCAAUUAAAAUGUUUACCCUUGCGUAAAUUCUCAUUAUUUUAUUCUGAUCCUUAAGAUGAAUGUGCAGUCUGAUGCCUGACAAGAUCAUGUUAUCGUAAAGGAAAGGAAAUCAUUGAUUCUGACUUUGUUAAACUGAAGAACUAAUUUAAGGAAUCAUCUUUGAAUUUCCUUUUGGAGGGUGGGUGGAAAACUACUCCUAUAUAUUUAAGUCAGUAUUGGUUAUAUUUUCCACUUCUUGCUCUGAUGUUUUUUCCGAAUUGAUACAAGUAUAAGUUUUAAAUUUUGUACUUU
rnacentral:lncRNA from 13 species